GACGAACGCUGGCGGCGUGCUUAACACAUGCAAGUCGAACGGAAAGGCCCUGCUUUUGUGGGGUUCUCGAGUGGCGAACGGGUGGGUAACACGUGAGUAACCUGCCCUUGACUUUGGGAUAACUUCAGGCAACUGGGGCUAAUACCGGAUAGGAGCUCCUGCUGCAUGGUGGGGGUUGGAAAGUUUCGGCGGUUGGGGAUGGACUCGCGGCUUAUCAGCUUGUUGGUGGGGUAGUGGCUUACCAAGGCGUUGACGGGUAGCCGGCCUGAGAGGGUGACCGGCCACAUUGGGACUGAGAUACGGCCCAGACUCCUACGGGAGGCAGCAGUGGGGAAUAUUGCACAAUGGGCGGAAGCCUGAUGCAGCAACGCCGCGUGCGGGAUGACGGCCUUCGGGUUGUAAACCGCUUUCGCGUGUGACGAAGCGUGAGUGACGGUAAUGGGUAAAGAAGCACCGGCUAACUACGUG
rnacentral:rRNA from 1 species